UGAGUAGAGGAGCGCAUGAGUGAGACCCUCCCCCAGCGCUACUAUUGAGGAGCAUUUACUCAGUGAGUGCAAGAGGUUUGUUUGAAACAGACCGCAAUGGAGAGAUCAGCGCCCAGGGAAGCGAGGGAACAGCAGGCUCCUUCCAGCAGCACAUCGGGAUGGGAGCCUGGGACACAGAGGGGGCUCCGAGACCGGGACUGAUUCGGGGAAAAACACCUGAGGGACUAAGACGCUAUAAUACUUCCUCAGUUCAAAGCAAAGAGUGACCAGCUGCCUCUAACAAACGGAAGGGUUGUGAUUCAAAUUCAAAGAAGAUCUGACAAAUUAGAAUUGACAGUGGGGCAGUCGUGGUGUGUAGGAACACCAAAUGCUGCCAGACCUGCUGAGUGACUGAGGAAAUUUUUAGUGGUCAUGUGAAGUCUUCAGCUGCACCCCAGUGAAGAACAAGCACGGAUCAUGAAUGAAGAAUGGAUUACCUGGCACUGUGAGACAGAUGGACUUACUGGUCACAUUGGAUAUCAUUCCACUGGGACUCCUGUUGAUCAUGAGACACUGGUACUGGCCUUGGUAUUGGGACUGGAAGGAUUCAAUGACCAGCUCUGUCCUGUCUGAGCUCGAGUUGUAAUUCCCACUGGCAUUGUUUAAGGCUUUCAGAUGAAAGUACCAUUGAAAGUAGGGGGUCCAGUACCUCGGCUCCCAAUCAGAACCUCCAUUUUAGUGGCUAUGGAGGGGGUGGGGGGAGGAGGAGAACCCCAGCAACAUGAACUAGAACAAAACAAGACAAAAAGGAAACAACAGAUCGGACGUUUGAAAUUGUCUCUUUUGUCACAGAUGUUAUCUUCGA